rnacentral:lncRNA from 1 species
GAAUGGCCCCAUGGAUGUCCGGCCAGAUCCUGCUGGAUUGAGCAUACGAGGCUUAAGGCUGCAAAUGGGUCAGGUUGACUCGCGGCCUGACCUGAUCCAACCCACUUAGAUCCGAUCCGAUCUGUUUUAAAGGGAUUGUGGGCCGAGUCGAGUUCUAAAAUUGGUCUCAUUCUAUUUUUCGGGAUAAGUCUGGGUUUACUGAAUUCAAAUCUGACCCGAUCUGAUCCAUUUGAAAUUUGGAUAAUUUUGGAUUUUCAAUCCUACGACCCUCCCUGACCCAACCCGAAACUAUUAAAUUAUUUGGGUCCGCGGGCCGCAGCCCGCGAGGGUGCAAACAAAUAAGUUAGCCUAGACCUAGAGAAAAUAUAUCUUACAUCAAAUCUUAUUUAAUAAAUAUUAAAAUUCUUUCUAUAAUCAAUUUAUUCUAUUUAUGUUUCUCUUCUAUUAGGACUAUAUAUUAUUUAUUGAUCAUAGAGCUUAUCCAUUUAGUUUAUGAGUCAGCAGGUAGAGAAUGUUAAUUGAAAAUAUGGACAAACUUAUGAUAGUUUUAGUGGGAAUGAAGACAGAGUUGACCUUCUUUGAGCUCUAAUUCAUCCUAAAUUAUUGUUUUGCUUGACCUUUCUAACUUUAAAGGUUUUAGAUAUUAUAACCCAUAUUUAUAACAAGCACCAACUCCUCACUAUGAUGCACAGGAACUAGGGAUGCAAGGAGAUUACAGUUUUUGACACGGACCCAAACCCGACUCGAAUGAUCCAUUGGAUCAAAAAUUGUACUCGUGGACCCGAACAGACUGGGUCUGGGUCUAAAAUUAGGAUCCGAAAAAAAAAAUCGGGUUGGGUUGGGGUUACUCAUUAUCCGGUUUGAUCCGACCCAUUUGCACUCCUAAUGAGACC